rnacentral:rRNA from 1 species
UAACGCGUGAGGAACCUGCCUCAAAGAGGGGGACAACAGUUGGAAACGACUGCUAAUACCGCAUAAGCCCACAGCUCGGCAUCGAGCAGAGGGAAAAGGAGUGAUCCGCUUUGAGAUGGCCUCGCGUCCAAUUAGCUAGUUGGUGAGGUAAUGGCCCACCAAGGCGACGAUCGGUAGCCGGACUGAGAGGUUGAACGGCCACAUUGGGACUGAGACACGGCCCAG